ACGCUCGACACCUACGGUAGGCAGCAGUGGGGAAUAUUGCACAAUGGGGGAAACCCGUGAUGCAGCGACGCCGCGUGAGCGAAGAAGUAUUUCGGUAUGUAAAGCUCUAUCAGCAGGGAAGAUAAUGACGGUACCUGACUAAGAAGCUCCGGCUAAAUACGUGCCAGCAGCCACGGUAAUCUGAGCGGGCUGGCAAGGC
rnacentral:rRNA from 1 species